rnacentral:rRNA from 1 species
GCCGCGUGUGUGAUGAAGGCCUUCGGGUUGUAAAGCCCUUUUCUGGGGGAAGAGACAAGGACGGUACCCCAGGAAUAAGUCCCGGCUAACUACGUGCCAGCAGCCGCGGUAAUAAUCACUAGUGAAUUC